rnacentral:rRNA from 1 species
AACGAACGCUGGCGGCGUGCCUAAGACAUGCAAGUCGUGCGGAAAGGCUCCUUCGGGAGCACUCGAGCGGCGCACGGGUGAGUAACGCGUGGGUAAUCUGCCUUCGGGUCCGGGACAACUUCGGGAAACUGGAGCUAAUACCGGAUGAGACCACGGGACCUUCGGGCCCCGCGGAAAAACGGUGGCCUCUGCUUGCAAGCUACCGCCCGUCGAUGAGCCCGCGUCCCAUUAGCUAGUUGGUGGGGUAACGGCCUACCAAGGCGACGAUGGGUAGCUGGUCUGAGAGGAUGAUCAGCCACACUGGAACUGAGACACGGUCCAGACUCCUACGGGAGGCUG